UUUACCCACGCACCAGUAGGAGGACAUGAUGGAAACUGCGCCCAGGAAGAGAGACGCGACCGUCUGGAUGAAGGAGAGGCGAGGGGAGCGCAUCUGCUUCAGGAACGCCAUCACGCAGGUAAGCGAGGGAAGGUGAAGGAAACAUCCGACCCUGCUCCUCCACCCGUCUGCGCUCCUUUUCACUCUUCAUCAGAUAGCGAGGAGGAGUGAUGGAGGAUUUUGGCCGUCACACUGACCUCUGCGAGAAGAGUGACUGUCAGUCUUUAUGAUCCAACCCCAGUGGUCAGACACAACACACACACACAACACACACACACUCUCCUCUUUAAUCCAUCAGUAUAAAUCCAAAACAGACAACUCUGUUCCAUCUGUUUUCAUUUUGAUUCCUAGACUUAUUUUGAUCUGUUUCAUUCAUCUCCUCUCCUCUUAUCUGCCCCCCCCCCCCCAGCACUCCGGUGGAUGAUGUGUAAAUCGACAUGACCUUGAGAGGGUGAAUAAAUGUGGCAGAUAAACACUGUUACUUGGGCCAUAUGGCUUUGCAGCACCAUACGUGUAGAAUUUCCAGUGACACCUGUUUGACUGUAGGAGGCGCUGCGGGUCAGAGCGGGUUAUUUAAUUACUGCAAUCAACUGUUAAUCACUUGACUGAAAAGGAUUUGAUGUUGUUGCCGGAAAAGGAUCAUGUGUCAUAAAUCAUAUCGUAAAACCA